AAUAGGAUGCCCGAGGCUGCACUCGGGGGUGAGUCUGGCCAUGUUUUGAUCCGAAGUCCAUUAUCUGUUUUUAUUAAUGUACAGUUCUUGAUGACGACACCGAGCACGUCCUCCUCAUUUUCGUAUUUUCCAAGGCUUCCAACACUGUCGUAGUAGACAUCAAAUUAGACAGAGUAGCAGGCAGAGAAGCCUCUGUUGAUCGAACGAUGUGGGAGUUACCUGAUACCGUGCCCAGGACCGCAGGUUAUUUUGUUGAUGGUGACAUUCAUUGAUCCUCGACCCAGGGAGAUGCAAUCGUCACCAGUGGAAAUGACUGAUCUCGAUAUUUUCACUUUGUUGGAGCGGCUCAGAUGUAUGCCAUCAGUGUUGGGACUGUCGUCUGGCGCCGUUAUAUGUAGUUUUUUCAGCCGAACGUUCUCACUGUUCGUGAUGAACAUGUGAAACCCCUUGCUGUUGAUGGAACUGAUGCCUUUCAUGAAUACAUUUGUGAUGCCAUUGAAUUUCAAAUUCUAGGAAGAAAGGAAAAGGGAAACCACAAGAGUAUUUAAGAGACGGCCAUUAAGGUGAGUUCAUAGUAAGGCAGCCAGAGCCUAAGUACUUACAACAGGGAGCUUCUGGCAAGUGGGAUUCAUACCACAGUCGUUGUAUUUCCAGACAGCAUCACCUUGUCCAUCCAAAGUACCUCUGCCAGUGAUUAUCAAGCCAUUGAUCUUCUCAAACAAUAUCCAUUCAUUAGAGACGUAAUUGCUCAGGUCGAUGUCUCCUUUUAAGGUCGCAUCGAUUUGAACAACGAUAGGACUUGUCGAGGCGCAUGGCCCUGCAAACACUAUUUGACUGAUCAAAAAAGUACCCCCAGGAAUAACUACUCUUGCAGCUCCCUUGGAGUGGCAUGCUGCAACCCAUGUCUUCAUAAAACUCUGCAAAAACCAGCCAACAAAACAUCAGGUUUAGCACCAAAACUGAGAACAUUAAACACGGUCUCCCUCCGAUGUCUAAUGUCCUUCCCGAAAUUGAUCUUUUGAAAGAGGUCAGGCGGGUUCGUCCCGACGAAGAAUUUGGCGUUAACCGCAACCAAUGCUACCAACAAUAGCCAGGUAAGAAGAGUGGCUUGUUUGAAAGCAGAUUUCAUUGAAACUUAUGAAAAAAGGUAUUGGGUGUGUUUAUUCUAGGAUGAAACAGCCUCCAAGGGGAGGCCAGAGAAGUAAAAAGGAAAAGCUUGGUUUCUUCCCUCUGUGCUUCGUUAUUUUAUAGCAGUUUUGAAAGGGUGUCCGUGGUUGUCUUGCUUGUUGACAUGAAAAGGCCUAAAAAUAGUGGAGUUCCCUUAAUGUAGGAGGCAUUACCAACAUUUUGUUCGUUCUUAGCCCAAUUUGUCGCCGGUUAAGAGAAGAACUCGGUGCCCAUUUCCAUGCCUCACCAGGUAUCAAAAACUACAUGUAUAUAUAGCCUGGUGACUCAAAUAUGCCUGAAAAAGGUACUUUUAAACUGCAUUUUUACCAUUUUUUAAGUUUGUUUGGAACUACGAUUGUUUCGUUGUUUGAGUUUUGAAUUUUGGUUGGAUCUAAAUGAUAUUGUCUGUGUAUGAUUUGGGUUA